AUUUGUCUCCAUACACUUGAUUUUAACUUGCAAAACAAAGUCUUUAUGUCCUGCCGCCAUUUUUCUCACUCAGUUGGAAAAGGCUUAUGGGAUAGUAGCCACAGGAUGCCCGAUACAAUAUUUCACGAUGGUGGCCGAGUUGAAUCCUGGUGGAAAAUCGUGACGUGAAUGGCGCGAGUAUUCGUGGAUUUUAUUAAGAAAUGAACUGGAAUUUUCGAAGUUUUUGCUGAAAAUGACUACUUCAGUUGGCUUUCACAUGAACUAUUCUGCAUUUGUUUUCAAGUUUACACCAACAACAACAACACCUCACGGUCAGCGUAAAGAGUGUGUUUGUUUAGCAAGUUAAAAUCGAGUAUAUGGAGACAAAUUCUAUCGAAAAUCACUUUUAUGGAUCAUUCUUAGAUCAUUCUUGGUCAUUCCAGCUCGUUCUGGAUCAUUCCAGCUCAUUCCGGCUCAUUCCAGCUCUUUCCAGUAACAGUACCAGAUAGAAGAAAUGAUGAGUAAGAUGCUUGAAACCCUCUGCCUACGCCAGAGACAUUUGUCUUGAACACUAAGCGCAAGCAGUUGUUUGGUUUUCAGGUUUGCAGGCCAUGCGGAUGUGGUAUUCAUAGUUUUGACUAUCUUAAGCCUUUUAAACUCUCAGAAGUGAUGAACAUGUAACUUCUCCCUAUGAUAUCUAAACAUUCUCCAGCAAACAGGUAAUGAGAAUACUCAAACUUAUCAGGUACAAGUCGUCAUCUAAAUUCUUUUAACUCGUUUACAAGGAAAUGUAUGGCAGCUGGGCCAGAGGGGAGAGUUAACAAUCAGAUCUUGGGGGUUACAGGGUUAACAGUCAGAGUUAAAACCCUCCACCCCUUAGAGUGAGUAGCACGUGUACAGCUGUGGCUGCACCCCCGGGUAUGGGGUGGCUAUUUUAAGGUUGAGAGUGACAGUCUAGUAUCUUAUUUCUCCUUACAAUAUCACACUUGAAUCAUACACUAGGCACAAGAUAGUGGAUCUGACUUAAGAAGCUCUUUAUUUGUUAAACAAAUAUCAUUCUCCUUGUCCGUACAUUAGGAAAGGUUAGGGUGUAAAAGUGUAAGUCAUGGUUUUGCUUCAAGAUUUCAAGGUAAUCAAAUAAAUAAAUGAAUAAAUGAAUAAAUAAAUAAAUGAUUUAGCA